GUCCCUAUCCGUCGCGGGCGUUGGAAAUUUGAGAGGAGCUGUCCUUAGUAUGAGAGGGCCGGGAUGGACUUACAGCUGGUGUACCAGUUGUUCUGCCAAGGGCAUUGCUGGGUAGCUAUGUAGGGAAGGGAUAAACGCUGAAAGCAUCUAAGUGUGAAGCCCACCUCAAGAUGAGAUUUCCCAUUUCUUUAAGAAAGUAAGAUCCCUGAGAGAUGAUCAGGUAGAUAGGUCAGGAGUGGAAGUACAGUGAUGUAUGGAGCGGACUGAUACUAAUCGAUCGAGGACUUAACCAAU
rnacentral:rRNA from 1 species